AACGUAGGUACCGAGCGUUAUCCGGAUUCACUGGGCGUAAAGCGCGUGCAGGUGGUAUGGUAAGUCGGGCAUGAAAACUCUUGGCUCAACUGAGAGACGCUGUCCGAUACUGCCGAACUUGAGGGUGUAAGAGGGAGGUGGAAUUCCGCAUGUAGUGGUGAAAUGCGUAGAUAUGCGGAGGAACACCAGUGGCGAAGGCGACAUCCUGGACCGGUAUUGACGCUGAGGCGCGAAAGCCAGGGGAGCAAACGGG
rnacentral:rRNA from 1 species